AGAGAUGCGAGUAAACUCCAUAGAAUUGCAGCUAAGGAAAAAAGACAGUAUCACAACCAAUUAUUCACUGGUUAUAUUCUUGCAAGGAACAGAAAGGAAAGGUAAGCAAAGGUUGUAAAUAUUCUUUAAAACAUCCUGCCAGACAGAAAGAUCGUCAACCUGGGUACAAGCACUAGUAUAAUGAUAAGCAACAUGAUCACCAUCACUAUCAUCAUCAUAGAAAUAAUCAUCACCAUCACUAUCAUCA